rnacentral:rRNA from 1 species
GUCCACGCCCUAAACGAUGUCAACUGGUUGUUGGGAAUUCACUUUCUCAGUAACGAAGCUAACGCGUGAAGUUGACCGCCUGGGGAGUACGGCCGCAAAGGUUGAAACUCAAAGGAAUUGACGGGGACCCGCACAAGCGGUGGAUGAUGUGGUUUAAUUCGAUGCAACGCGAAAAACCUUACCCACCUUUGACAUGUGCGGAAUCCUUUAGAGAUAGAGGAGUGCUCGAAAAGAGAGCCGUAACACAGGUGCUGCAUGGCUGUCGU